GUGGUGAAAAAUAACCCAAAUGAAUCUGUAACUCCUAAUGCCGCUACCAAUUCUCCUUCAUGUACAAGAGAGUUUCAUGGGCACCUAAAGGAGUAGUGUUGCUGUACUUAUGCCUCUGUUCUAAAAGAAAUAAAUUACCAGUUAUUGUGAUAGCUGAAGUCUAGUGAUCUUUGACUUCUGAUGUUAAAGGUACACUUCAAGAGUUAUCUUGGACACCAAUGGGUUAUGUUGUUCGACAGACAUUAUCUACAGAACUGUCAGCAGCCCCUAAAAAUGUUACUUCUAUGAUAAACUUAAAGACCAUUGCUUCGUCAGCAGAUCCUAAAAAUGUUAGUAUACCAUCUUCUGAAGCUUUAUCUUCGGAUCCUUCCUACAACAAAGAAAAACACAUUAUUCAUCCUACCCAAAAGUCUAAAACAUCACAAGGUAGUGACCUUGAACAAAAUGAAGCCUCAAGAAAGAAUAAGAAAAAGAAAGAAAAAUCUACAUCAAAAUAUGAAGUCCUGACAGUUCAAGAGCCUCCAAGGAUUGAAGAUGCCGAGGAAUUUCCCAACCUGGCAGUUGCAUCUGAAAGAAGAGACAGAAUAGAGACACCGAAAUUUCAAUCUAAGCAGCAG
rnacentral:sRNA from 1 species